rnacentral:rRNA from 1 species
GGGCCCGCACAAGCGGUGGAGCAUGUGGUUUAAUUCGAUGCAACGCGAAGAACCUUACCUACCCUUGACAUCCUCGGAAUCUGCCGGAGACGGCGGAGUGCCUUCGGGAACCGAGUGACAGGUGCUGCAUGGCUGUCGUCAGCUCGUGUUGUGAAAUGUUGGGUUAAGUCCCGUAACGAGCGCAACCCCUGUCCCUAUUUGCCAGCGAUUCGGUCGGGAACUCUAGGGAGACUGCCGGUGACAAACCGGAGGAAGGUGGGGACGACGUCAAGUCAUCAUGGCCCUUACGGGUAGGGCUACACACGUGCUACAAUGGCAGGUACAAAGGGUUGCAAGACGGCGACGUGGAGCUAAUCCCAUAAAGCCUGCCUCAGUCCGGAUCGGAGUCUGCAACUCGACUCCGUGAAGUCGGAAUCGCUAG